rnacentral:rRNA from 1 species
AUUGAACGCUGGCGGCAUGCCUUACACAUGCAAGUCGAACGGUAACAGGUCUUCGGAUGCUGACGAGUGGCGAACGGGUGAGUAAUACAUCGGAACGUGCCCGAUCGUGGGGGAUAACGAAGCGAAAGCUUUGCUAAUACCGCAUAAGAUCUAAGGAUGAAAGCAGGGGACCGCAAGGCCUUGCGCGAACGUAGCGGCCGAUGGCAGAUUAGGUAGUUGGUGGGAUAAAAGCUUACCAAGCCGACGAUCUGUAGCUGGUCUGAGAGGACGACCAGCCACACUGGGACUGAGACACGGCCCAGACUCCUACGGGAGGCAGCAGUGGGGAAUUUUGGCCAAUGGGCGAAAGCCUGAUCCAGCCAUGCCGCGUGCAGGAUGAAGGCCUUCGGGUUGUAAACUGCUUUUGUACGGAACGAAAAGACUCUUUCUAAUAAAGAGGGUCCAUGACGGUACCGUAAGAAUAAGCACCGGCUAACUACGUGCCAGCAGCCGCAGUAAAAC